rnacentral:rRNA from 1 species
UGGGGAAUAUUGCACAAUGGGCGAAAGCCUGAUGCAGCAACGCCGUGUGAGUGAUGAAGGCCUUCGGGUUGUAAAGCUCUGUCUUUUGGGACGAUAAUGACGGUACCAAAGGAGGAAGCCACGGCUAACUACGUGCCAGCAGCCGCGGUAAUACGUAGGUGGCAAGCGUUGUCCGGAUUUACGGGCGUAAAGGAUGCGUAGGCGGAUUUUUAAGUGAGAUGUGAAAACCCUAAGCUUAAUCUUGGGGACUGCAUUUCAUACUGGAAAUCUAGAGUGCGGGAGAGGAGAAUGGAAUUCCUAGUGUAGCGGUGAGGUGCGUAGAGAUUAGGAAGAAACACCAGUGGCGAAGGCGAUUCUCUGGACCGUAACUGACGCUGAGGCAUGAAAGCGUGGGUAGCAAACAGGAUUAGAUACCCUGGUAGUCCACGCCGUAAACGAUGAGUACUAGGUGUAGGUAGGUAUCGACCCCCUUCUGUGCCGCAGUUAAACACAAUAAGUACUCCGCCUGGGAAGUACGAUCGCAAGAUUAAAACUUUAAAUGAAUUGACGGGGUCAUAGCUGUUUUCCCU